rnacentral:rRNA from 1 species
ACCGGAGUGGACGCAUCACUGGUGUUCGGGUUGUCAUGCCAAUGGCACUGCCCGGUAGCUAAAUGCGGAAGAGAUAAGUGCUGAAAGCAUCUAAGCACGAAACUUGCCCCGAGAUGAGUUCUCCCUGACUCCUUGAGAGUCCUGAAGGAACGUUGAAGACGACGACGUUGAUAGGCCGGGUGUGUAAGCGCAGCGAUGCGUUGAGCUAACCGGUACUAAUGAACCGUGAGG